CCUACGGGGGGCAGCAGUGGGGAAUAUUGCGCAAUGGGCGAAAGCCUGACGCAGCGACGCCGCGUGAGGGAUGAAGGUCUUCGGAUCGUAAACCUCUGGCAGCAGGGAAGAACGGUCACUGGGCUAAGCAGCAGUGAAUUGACGGUACCGGCAAAGGAAGCACCGGCUAACUCCGGGCCAGCAGCCGAGGUAAUACGGAGGGGGCGAGCGUUAAUCGGAAUUACGGGGCGGAAAGCGCUCGUAGGCGGUAUGUCAAGUCAAGGGUGAAAUCCCCGCGCUCAACGUGGGAACUGCCUUUGAAACUGGCAACCUGGAGUGUGUGAGAGGAUAGUUGAAUUCCAGGUUU
rnacentral:rRNA from 1 species